UGAGCUGUGAUGGGGAGAAGACAUUGUGUCUUCGAGUCGUUGAUUUCACACUGCCGAGAAAAGCCUCUAGAUAGAAAAUAGGUGCCCGUACCGCAAACCGACACAGGUAGUCAAGAUGAGAAUUCUAAGGUGAGCGAGCGAACUCUCGUUAAGGAACUCGGCAAAAUGACCCCGUAACUUCGGGAGAAGGGGUGCUCUUUAGGGUUAACGCCCAGAAGAGCCGCAGUGAAUAGGCCCAAGCGACUGUUUAUCAAAAACACAGGUCUCUGCUAAACCGUAAGGUGAUGUAUAGGGGCUGACGCCUGCCCGGUGCUGGAAGGUUAAGAGGAGUGGUUAGCUUCUGCGAAGCUACGAAUCGAAGCCCCAGUAAACGGCGGCCGUAACUAUAACGGUCCUAAGGUAGCGAAAUUCCUUGUCGGGUAAGUUCCGACCCGCACGAAAGGCGUAACGAUUUGGGCACUGUCUCAACGAGAGACUCGGUGAAAUCAUAGUACCUGUGAAGAUGCAGGUUACCCGCGACAGGA
rnacentral:rRNA from 1 species